rnacentral:rRNA from 1 species
GUCUACGGCCACGCCACCCUGAAUGAGCCCAAUCCCGUCUGAUCUCGGAAGCUAAGCAGGGUCAGGCCUGGUUAGUACUUGGAUGGGAGACCACCUAGGAAGCCCAGGUGCUGUAGGUG